CUGGGAUGCAGGCGCGGCAAUCAUGCCCUGGGAGCUAAUGUAGAGCUUUGGAUAAUGCUUUUGCAAGUUGUACGAGAAGGGAAGUUCUUGGGGUUUCUGACCUCCUGCAGCCUCCUCUUGCCUCGGGCUGCCCAGAUCUUGGCGGCUGAGGCUGGCUUACCUUCAAGCCGUUCCUUCAUGGGAUUUGCUGCUCCCUUCACCAACAAGCGAAAGGCUUACUCGGAGCGUAGAAUCAUGGGGUAAGCAUUCUCUCCCUUGCAUCCUUCCACUUCCUCUUUCCCUCCAAAUAACUAUGUCCAGGCAAGAAUGUCAGGGUAUCAUCGGUGGGCAAGAUUCAUCCCUAGCCAUCCCCCUCCCCAGAUACAAUACUGAUCCUCAAUCCUCCCUUGCCACCCUCCCGACCUUAAUUUCUCCCUUCUUGGUUGCUGUGCAUGUGCUUAAGUGAAAUGAGACUAGGGUUGGACUAUACUUUAAGACAACAGGGCGUAGCCGAUCGUUUUAGGUCAGGAGUUCAAGACCAGCCUGGCCAACAUGGUGAAAUCCUGUCUCCACUAAAAAAAAACACACACACAAAAAUCAGCCUGGCACGGUGGCGGGCGCCUUUAAUCCCAGCUACUUGGGAGGCUGAGGCAGGAGAAUC
rnacentral:sRNA from 1 species